rnacentral:rRNA from 1 species
AAAACGGUAGCUAAUACUGCAUAACGUUCGAUGACCAAAGGGGGGGACAUUCGGGCCUGAUGCCUUCAGAUGUGCCCAAAAGGGAUUAGCUGGAAGGUGGGGUAACGGUUCACCUAGGCAACAAUCCCUAGGUGGUCAGAAAGGAUGACCUCCCACACUGGAACUGAUACACGGACCAAACUCCUACGGGAGGCAGCGGGGGGGAAUAUUGCACAAUGGGCGCAAGCCUGAUGCAACCAUGCCGCGAGGGUGAAGAAGGCCUUCGGGUUGUAAAGCACUUUCAUCGGGGAGGAAGGCGGUGAGGUUAAUAACCUCAUCAAUUGACGUUACCCGCAAAAAAAGCACCGGCUAACUCCGUGCCAACAUCCGCGAUAAUACGGAGGGUGCAAGCUUUAAUCGGAAUUACUGGGCGUAAAGCACACGCAGGCGGUCUGUCAAGUCGGAUGUAAAAUCCCCGGGUUCAACCUGGGAACUGCAUUCAAAUCUGGCAGGCUACAUUCUUGUAGAGGGGGAUAGAAUUCCAGGUGUAGCGGGGAAAUGCGUAGAGAUCUGGAGGAAUACCGGUGGCGAAGGCGGCCCCCUGGACAAAGACUGACGCUCAGGUGCGAAAGCGUGGGGAGCAAACAGGAUUAGAUACCCUGGUAGUCCACGCUGUAAACGAUGUCGAUUUGGAGGUUGUGCCCUUGAGGCGUGGCUUCCGGAGCUAACGCGUUAAAUCGACCGCCUGGGGAGUACGGCCGCAAGGUUAAAACUCAAUUGAAUUGACGGGGGCCCGCACAAGCGGUGGACCAUGUGGUUUAAUUUCGAUGCAACGCGAAAAAACCUUACCUGGUCUUGAACAUCCCCAGAAAUUUUCCAAAANAUGGGAUUGGUGGCCUUCCGGGAAACUGGUAAAAACGG